rnacentral:rRNA from 1 species
GACGAACGCUGGCGGCGUGCUUAACACAUGCAAGUCGAACGAUGAAGCCUUGCCUUGCUUGGGUGGUCUAGUGGCGAACGGGUGAGUAACACGUGAGCAACCUGCCCAGGACUUUGGAAUAACCUCGGGAAACCGUGGCUAAUACCGGAUAGGUGCCGCGGCCGCAUGGUCUUCGGUUGGAAAUUUUUUGCGGUUCUGGAUCGGCCCGCGGCCUAUCAGCUUGUUGGUGGGGUAAUGGCCUACCAAGGUGACGACGGGUAGCCGGCCUGAGAGGGUGACCGGCCACACUGGGACUGAGACACGGCCCAGACUCCUACGGGAGGCAGCAGUGGGGAAUAUUGCACAAUGGGCGCAAGCCUGAUGCAGCAACGCCGCGUGCGGGAUGACGGCCUUCGGGUUGUAAACCUCUUUUAGUAGGGAAGAAGCGCAAGUGACGGUACCUGCAGAAAAAGCACCGGCUAACUACGUG